GCGGAUCCCUGUACUCGCAAUCCGCUAUAGCGGGGGUGAUGCCUGCAAUAGGCUCCUCUCUUGUGGGGCCAAUGGCCCUGUCCGUGAAGUGUUGACAAUUAAGUCCCGCGCAAUAGCUGCUUGUGAACCGCGUCAGGUCCGGAAGGAAGCAGCGCUAAGCAAAUACGGCUAUGUGCCGCGGGGGUGCUUGAUUCGAGCUGAGCGGCGGGAUACCGCCCGGAAGGGAAUGCCAACCUGCGGGCGCACGG
rnacentral:SRP_RNA from 1 species